rnacentral:rRNA from 1 species
GACGAACGCUGGCGGCGUGCUUAACACAUGCAAGUCGAACGGAAAGGCCCUGCUUUUGUGGGGUGCUCGAGUGGCGAACGGGUGAGUAACACGUGAGUAACCUGCCCUUGACUUUGUGAUAACUUCAGGAAACUGGGGCUAAUACCGGAUAGGAGCUCCUGCUGCAUGGUGGGGGUUGGAAAGUUUCGGCGGUUGGGGAUGGACUCGCGGCUUAUCAGCUUGUUGGUGGGGUAGUGGCUUACCAAGGCUUUGACGGGUAGCCGGCCUGAGAGGGUGACCGGCCACAUUGGGACUGAGAUACGGCCCAGACUCCUACGGGAGGCAGCAGUGGGGAAUAUUGCACAAUGGGCGGAAGCCUGAUGCAGCAACGCCGCGUGCGGGAUGACGGCCUUCGGGUUGUAAACCGCUUUCGCCUGUGACGAAGCGUGAAUGACGGUAAUGGGUAAAGAAGCACCGGCUAACUACGUG